GAUGAACGCUGGCGGCGUGCCUAAUACAUGCAAGUCGAGCGAACGGACGAGAAGCUUGCUUCUCUGAUGUUAGCGGCGGACGGGUGAGUAACACGUGGAUAACCUACCUAUAAGACUGGGAUAACUUCGGGAAACCGGAUCUAAUACCGGAUAAUAUUUUGAACCGCAUGGUUCAACAGUGAAAGACGGUCUUGCUGUCACUUAUAGAUGGAUCCGCGCUGCAUUAGCUAGUUGGUAAGGUAACGGCUUACCAAGGCAACGAUGCAUAGCCGACCUGAGAGGGUGAUCGGCCACACUGGAACUGAGACACGGUCCAGACUCCUACGGGAGGCAGCAGUAGGGAAUCUUCCGCAAUGGGCGAAAGCCUGACGGAGCAACGCCGCGUGAGUGAUGAAGGUCUUCGGAUCGUAAAACUCUGUUAUUAGGGAAGAACAUAUGUGUAAGUAACUGUGCACAUCUUGACGGUACCUAAACAGAAAGCCACGGCUAACUACGUG
rnacentral:rRNA from 1 species